rnacentral:rRNA from 1 species
CCUACGGGAGGCAGCAGUGAGGAAUAUUGGUCAAUGGACGCAAGUCUGAACCAGCCAAGCCGCGUGCAGGAAGACGGAUCUAUGGUUUGUAAACUUCUUUUGUACGGGGGUAAACUCAGGAACGCGUUCCUGUCUGUAAGUACCAUACGAAUAAGCAUCUGCUAACUCCGUGCCAGCAGCCGCGGUAAUACGGAGGAUGCGAGCGUUAUCCGGAUUUAUUGGGUUUAAAGGGUGCGUAGGCGGUCGGUUAAGUCAGAGGUGAAAGACCGUGGCUCAACCAUCAAAUUGCCGUUGAAACUGGUCGGCUAGAGAGUAUUUGAGGUAGGCGGAAUGUAUGGUGUAGCGGUGAAAUGCAUAGAGAUCACACAGAACACCGAUUGCGAAGGCAGCUUACCAAGCUAUUACUGACGCUGAGGCACGAAAGCGUGGGGAGCAAACAGGAUUAGAUACCCCUGUAGUC